GACGAACGCUGGCGGCGUGCUUAACACAUGCAAGUCGAGCGGAAAGGCCUGCUUUCCCUUGUGGAUUGCGGGUACUCGAGUGGCGAACGGGUGAGUAACACGUGAGUGAUCUACCCCCAACUUGGGUAUAAGCCUGGGAAACUGGGUCUAAUUCCCGAUAGGACUGCAGGGUGGUGCCUGUGGUGGAAAACGAUUUUCUAGUGGUUGGGGAUGAGCUCGCGGCCUAUCAGCUUGUUGGUGGGGUAAUGGCCUACCAAGGCGGCGACGGGUAGCCGGCCUGAGAGGGUGGACGGCCACAUUGGGACUGAGAUACGGCCCAGACUCCUACGGGAGGCAGCAGUGGGGAAUAUUGCACAAUGGGCGGAAGCCUGAUGCAGCGACGCCGCGUGGGGGAUGACGGCCUUCGGGUUGUAAACUCCUUUCGACCGCGAGGAAGCCACCUGGUUGGAAGGGUGGUGACGGUAGUGGUAGAAGAAGCACCGGCUAACUACGUG
rnacentral:rRNA from 1 species